CGACUUCGCUCGUUUCAACACCAACGCCCCAACAGUUUCGCUGUUCUGUUGUUUCUCCUAACAGCCUUCGAUUCGCCUCCGUAAAAUCCUUGAACAUACAAUUCGUGUGUCUUUUUUCUCCAGUUAUCUGGCUUCAUUAAACACGUUCUUAUCGCCUGGUGCCAUAACUGCUGUUACGUGUGCCGGAAAGUGUCGCGCUGUGCUCGGUUCAGCUGUUUGCUAGCUUCACAGAACGAACGCCAGUUCACAGCGUCUGCUGCAACUACGCGGAAGUAAUUUGCGAACGUCUGUGUGAUGUGACUGUAGAACAACGCGUGUGUACAGAACGUCAUAGAACUAGAAAACAUCUGGCUGCAUAAUACGUCACACUUUUACUUUCAAAACAGCAUCAGUCCAGGGGUGUGCCACAAGGAACCGACGUCCGAAAGCUCUAAACGUGUGACAGGGCGAAGUGUCAAGAGCAUAGCCACGACUUCUCACUCCACGAACCAAUCACACAAGCUAAUUGCCCUUGAAGGUGUCGGUUGCUCAAUCAAGUGACUCUAAGGCCGUGGCCUGAAUAUAAAAAUGACACGGAAUGUCACCAAAGAAGUCGAUUUCGGUGGCAGAUCACAGCGUAAACAGAUAAUUUACCGUGUUUCAUCUCUUAUCGCGAACAGCCCCCCCCAAAAAACCAUCAAAAUUAGUUUAUACCAGGGAAAACUAGAAAUUUCCAUCGCUGUUGGGAGUUUUUAAAAUUUCCUAGGCCGAAGGGGGCACAACAAGGGAACUGAUAACAAAAUCUACGGUUCUGUCCAGACGAGGAGGAAAUGAGAUCAGCCAGCCUCAAGCAGAAUCUAACAAUUGUUUCAUUUUCGCGGUUAAAUCGGUAAUUAAUGACAAGUCUUUACAAGUCGUAAGCACAAUUAGAUAUUUAAAGCGAAUUAAACUAUUGGAUAAUUAAUUCGCUAUUGGUAAAGCCGGAUUUGUGGGACUAUUUCUUAAUAAUAGUCAUGAGUACCACGCACCAACAGUUCGACUUUCGGCCGAGACUCAGGAAGGUCUUUCGUGGUUUUCCUCAGUUCAUCAAAAGUCAGAGUAUUACGUUAAAAAUGUGACAUUUCAGGUUCUCACGGCUGUGAGUUUGAAGAGGACUGUCUUCUGGGAUGUUGCACUGAGUAGUUUGGUAGAAAUUUACCGACGUUUCGGAAAUGAUUUUAGUGCUUACAGAGGCAGUAAGUACCUACCAAACUACACUGCUCAAGAUCCCAAAAGACAGGCAUCUUCAUUUAUAAUUUUUUUUAUUGCGAUCUUAUUCUGACGUCUACAGACGCGAAACAACGUCUUCGGAGGAUUACGAACUCCUAAUGAUACUUAAUUUUCGGAUCUAAUUUCUUAUUUGUGUGAAUCUGACAUGAACACAGAACUCUGAGCGAGCAGGUAUUUUUAAUUAAUACAGCUGCCAUGGCAACUGUGCUGUGUUUAUGAGCAAAAUGUCAUGACGUAAGUUACCAACCGAACAGCUCUAAUAUCGUGCGGAGAAAGGCGAAACUUGAAGAGACAACGCAGAAGAUGGACAGAACGGAAGCAACAAAUUAAUUACAAAGGAAAACGAGUGACGAACGUGUUUCGAAGAACACAAAAUUCAUCGGCAUUGAACAGCAAUCCUUGGCACAGAUGAACGGUGUAUUUCUCCGAAUUUUGGUGUACCAGGAGAUUCUUUUCAGAAACAAAUCAUUGUCUGAAGUUCAGAAGCGCCUUUCCUCGACUUGGAGUAUCGAUCUUGUUACGUAUCGACCCGAAAGGCGCCACCAUGGCCACAAACAGAAGUGAUUAAUGAACUUUGUACUCAAGACGAGGGUACAAAAGACGGUCCUCAUAAUACACAUGACGACGUGUAAGCAGUUGGUGCAAUGUUACGACCAGAAGAAGGUCGUUAGAAAGGGAGAAAGCUCAUAUACAUUCACCUUACCUUCUAAGAGUAUGUGAAAAUAAUAAAUAAAAUUAUAACAAUUU